AUGGAGCCAAAGAUAGACAACAGACAAGGUGGCAGAGAUGAGAGGAAACUAAGCAGUCGGACUUCAUCCUUGCCCAGCCUGUGGAACGACAGAAAAGACAAAGGAAAAAUAAGGUCCUUGCAUCCAUCACUCAGUUUGAAUUCUUCCUCAAUACCCGUUCUUCCUGCUGCUCAUAUUACUCAGCUCAGUAAGUCUGCUCCAAUGCUAAUGGACCCUUUUCUUGAUGCAAGUGUGCUGCUGCAAGCAAGGGCUAAAAUUCAUAACUGGCUUAGAGGUGCUCACACAGGGGAUGACGAUAACAGACAAAAGACACUACCUACUCUAUGUUCAAAGACACCCAAACAUCUUGCUCCGCUGGACAAUAUAUAUAAGGAUGGCUCUGCAUGUUCAAGUCUUGAGCACCCACUUCUCUUAAAACAAAGUAGCAUCUUGCCCAUCUCAUCACAGUCCAGACGAAGAGUGGAAAGGAUCUUAGAGAAGUCACUCAAUCUGGAACUGGGGACCUAUUUGGAUUUUCAGGAUUUAGGGAGUUCUGUAAUACACAACACUACAAACGAUAAUGUCAUUUCAGACAAGAAAGGCUACACAUCUACCAAAUCAUUGACUGUUAGGAAAGUCGUCAAGAAUGAAAUAAGAUGCAAGUCUUUCAAAACAACAGAAAACUCUGAUUUUCAGAGAAAGUCUCCAAGUAUGAACUGCUGCACUUUCUCUGAAGGACCUGAAAACAUAACCAGACAAAUACCUACAGUCAGGGAAUCCUGUUCUGUUGCAUGUGAGAAACAACUCACUGCUCUAGAUACUGGUGUAUUAGAAAAAUCAUCACAUGAGAAGAAAAAACCAAUUAAGAUGAUCAAGAGAAAUCCCAGUACAGGCAAAACAUCUAUUCAGACAAAUCAGUCAUUCAAUGUUCUGGCACACAGAAAACAAAGUACUGUUAAAACCACCAAUUCACUCAAAGCAGCAACUCAGAGAAAGUAA
rnacentral:lncRNA from 1 species